UUGCCAGUUAAUGCCAAGAAAGCCUUUCAAGCUGGCCAAGAGACCUAACAGUCAAUCAUCAAUUUGCCAGUCACCAUAGCCCAUUGGAGAUUAACCAGGCUUAGGACAGGACCAGCUGACUUUCAUCUUUGUUUUGCUUGAUCAUCUUGUUAUUCAGAGACCCAGAGAAUCUGAGGGCCAUUGCCUUCCAUGGGUGGCAGGGUACUGACUUUGAAAAUUAAUUGGCUCAGGUGAUCAAAAGACCACUUCCUGUUCAAUUAAAUGCAAAAUAGAUGCUUCUCAUCAUAGGUAACUUAGAGGCAUCUCCAGAGACUCUGAGCAACAAAAUGAUGACUCAGAAGAUGGUAACCAAAUCAUCUGCUUCGAAUUGUCUGUGUGCAUAUUUUGCGUGUUACUGUGUGAAAUUCGGACUGCAGGGCACCAAAUGGGUCUGGAAUGUGGCUCUGGGAAAUUCCCAUUUUCUUCUGAACGUGGAGACUGUACAAAAAGCCACCUGAAGAGCUCGUUUCCCCCCGCCUUUUGCACAGCGUUCUUUCAGCCUUGCCAUUUGGAAAGAAUGUGUUGAACAGAUCAACUUUUCCCAAACAGCUCUGCUG
rnacentral:lncRNA from 1 species